GGUACGACUCUCGGCAAUGGAUAUCUUAGCUCUCGCAUCGACGAAGAAUGUAGCGAAAUGCGAUACGUGGUGUGAAUUGCAGAAUCCCACGAACCAUCGAGUCUUUGAACGCGAGUUGCGCCCGAGG
rnacentral:rRNA from 1 species